CUUAGCCUCUGAGUAAUCAGAUAUUUUAAGAAAACACAUAGCUACUUGCCAUCCAGACAGUUCUGAACUUUAUUCUGAACAUUCCUAUACCAUUUGGUAUGACAGUGUGCUUCUAAAUAUCUGUUGUCUAUACCACUAAAGGAACUCCAAGGUCUUCACUUUUUUACAUUGUUGGCCUUCUCGCUUUUUCUUUUUUUUUCAGAAGUUUGGAAGGGCUUUCUUGGGGCUACUCUGAGCCCCUCACAGUGUUCCAGGAACCUAUUGGUUUUGCUGUUGCCUUUGCUUUUUGGAUAUUUGGGAGGGAAGGCAGGAAGACCAUCCUUCUCUCUCUUGGGAGAGAAAAGGCCCUUUUGGGAGAUGAGGUGUGGGAAAAGUAAAAAAUUCAACAGGAGCAGAGUCUGGUGGGGCCUGGAAGUGGCUAGAGCUUCCUUAGAGAGAAUGGAGGUCAGGAGUAUUGGCUUCAUAAGAGAGAAGGUGGCAGUAAGAGGGUCUAGAGUCAGGAAGAGCAGAUUGGUGGCGCUUUGGGCCAGGUGUGGCCAGAGAGUGUGCUUGUGGAUGUAGAGAAGGCUGAUCUGAUGAGGGUAGCCCAGCCAGUCCAGGGACCCAGCAGCCCCGUGGCCAGUGCAAGGCAACCUAGCUUGUGGCCAUGUCCCAGGUAUACCCACCAUACCUGGGCAUGGCAGGGAGAGUUCAGGGUGAUGCCCAGACCCAGGUUCAGGGAGACAAAGGGCUGGCUGUCCAAGUGUACUCACUUGGGCCGUUUAUACCACUUAGAGCUAGAUUGAUGGACCAAGAAAGAUCCAGGCCCAGUGUAAAGAGAGUUAAUAGACAUCUCUGGCACCCAGCAAGAAGGCCAGUGAGGGCAACCUGUAGGAGCUUAGCUUCCAUGCUAUGGGCACGCAGGGGACAACAGCCAGCCCAGGACAGCACCAGUUAUUAGGCCAGUCAAGCCCUGGUGAGGGAAAUGUGCUAAGAGGAAAACCCAGGACAAGCCAAUUGCCAGCAGGAAGGUCAAUAAGCCAAGCUAGGUAUCACCCUCACCCAAUGACUGUGGAUCCAAGUGGCCACCUGGGAAGAGAUAGCUGUCAUUAUGGACCAGAGGGCUGUUCCCACAAGAACAGUGUGGGAAGGGCUGCCGGGACCAGUUUCAUAAGAAGAGGGGAACAGGUGAAUCUGGGCUGGAGUCUAGCUGUAAUGCCCAAACUCUUUGACCCACCAAAAGGACCUGUCUCCAAAAAGAAACCACUUGAAGAGGAGGUUGAGCCACUUGGUGAAGAGGCUGAUGCAUGCCACCAUGAUGCCCACCUGGUGAGAGGAAUAGUAGGCCAUGGGGUGGAGAACAGAAAGAGACUCUUGGAGUGUCCCAGAAAGGUGAUCCAGAGCCACACAUUGUCCAAUCAGGGCAGCUGGUUCGCAGCACCUCAACUAUCAUGAUCCCUGUGCCUGGCAUGGACUCCAUGGCCACCGAAGAGCUGGCUUGACCAGGGUUUGGUCUGAGGUGGUGCAUCCCUCCUUUGCUGCUGUGAAGAUGGAUAUGUAAUAUCCAGGCAAGAUUCCUUCCAGACCAGACCUUUCUCCUUCGGUCGUGCUAUCCUCCAAAGAUAUUUUGAGAUCUCUUGGAGAGAAGGCUAGGGGCUACUCCUAUUCUGUGGAGCCAGGCAUACCCAGCAGGUGCUGAAGUGGGACCCUAAGUUUGCACACACAACUGGUUAAUUGGUCUGUGCCUUCCUCCCCCCAGCUCAAGACUCUCAUGCUUGAGUUCAUUCACUAUUGAUUUGGAAGCUGAC
ensembl:lncRNA